UACAGAGGUCCCGAGCGUUGUUCGGAUUCAUUGGGCGUAAAGGGUGCGUAGGCGGCGGGGCAAGUCUGAUGUGAAAUCCCGGGGCUCAACCCCGGAACUGCAUUGGAUACUGCCUUGCUAGAGUACUGGAGAGGAGAUUGGAAUUUACGGUGUAGCAGUGAAAUGCGUAGAUAUCGUAAGGAAGACCAGUGGCGAAGGCGAAUCUCUGGACAGUUACUGACACUGAGGCACGAAGGCCAGGGGAGCAAACGGG
rnacentral:rRNA from 1 species